UGGGGAAUCUUGCGCAAUGGGCGAAAGCCUGACGCAGCGACGCCGCGUGUGCGAUGAAGGUCUUCGGAUCGUAAAGCACUGUCGCGAGGGAAAAAGCCAGUGAUGGUACCUCGAAAGGAAGCACCGGCUAACUCUGUGCCAGCAGCCGCGGUAAUACAGAGGGUGCGAGCGUUGUUCGGAAUUAUUGGGCGUAAAGCGCUUGUAGGCGGUCCGUCAAGUCGCAUGUGAAAGCUCCAGGCUCAACCUGGAAAGUGCGCGCGAAACUGACGGACUUGAAUGCCGGAGAGGGUGGCGGAAUUCCCGGUGUAGAGGUGAAAUUCGUAGAUAUCGGGAGGAACACCAGAGGCGAAGGCGGCCACCUGGACGGACAUUGACGCUGAGAAGCGAAAGCGUGGGGAGC
rnacentral:rRNA from 1 species